ensembl:snRNA U6 U6 spliceosomal RNA
GUGCUCACCUCAGUAGCACAUAUAUACUAAAAUUGGAACGAAACAGAGAAGAUUAGCACAGCCCCGAGCAAGGAUGACAUGCAAAUUCGUGAAGCGUUCCAUAUUUUU